rnacentral:SRP_RNA from 1 species
GGCCGGGCCCGAUGCACGGGUGGCCCGUGAACCUGGUCAGGGUCGGAAGGCAGCAGCCAUAAGCGGCCGUCGCCCGGUGCCGUUGGUGUCCUGGUCGCU